AUGUUCCACAUAAGCGUUUGCUCUGUGUGCUCUGUUCUGUAGCCAUCACUUGAAACUCUGCUGCACCCAUAUUUGUUCUAUGUCAGUUCUUCUACUCUGUUUCCGUAUUUUAUGUUGAUCUGUCCAUGUAUGUUGUUUGUAAAAUAAAAAUAAAAAUACUAAACAUAUAUCUUUAAAGAGCCUGAGAUAACCAAGAAACCAGUCCCUGAAGUACCCAUUGCUCUUCCUAAAAAGUAGGGGCUCCAGCAGUAAAAGAUAGAAUGGUGUUUAUCUUGAACCACCAGCCUUUGAUUUUUGUCUCAUUAACAAUGCUGUGAAAUGUCAAUGUUUCAUCUGGUGCAUGUGUAUUCUGUUAUUAGUUCUCUUGUGUUGAAAACUGGGGAACUUGGGUCUUUAUGUGCUCCUCCUGGUUCUUGCAUUUUAAGUGCCUAAAACAAUCAAUAUCUUUUAAGUUCCUGAGGUGCCUAAGAAGGUGGAAGAAAAACGAAUCAUUGUCCCUGAAGAAGAGGAAGUUCCACCAGUUGAAGUGUUUGAGGAGCCUGAAGAGCCUAUUCCAGAAGAGGAGAUCCCAGAGGAAGCACCUAUCGUAGAGGAGGUUGAGGAAGAGGCGCCACCUAGAGUGCCCGAAGUGGUUAAGAAAGCAGUACCUGAAGCACCUACUCCUGUUCCUAAAAAAGUGGAGGCGCCACCAGCUAAAGGUAUAACAAAUCCUUUUACGAAAGAUAAUAAUAUCUUUAAAUUCUUAUCCAUCUU
rnacentral:lncRNA from 1 species